rnacentral:lncRNA from 10 species
CCGCUGUCCAGGUUCAAGCAAUUCUCCUGCCUCAGCCUCCCCAGUAGCUGGGAUUACAGGUGCACACCACCAUGCCCGGCUAAUUUUUGUAUUUUUAGUAGAGACGGGGUUUCACCAUGUUGCCCAGCCUGGUCUUGAACUCCUGACCUCAAGUGAUCCACUCACCUCAGCCUCCCAAAGUGCUGGGAUUACAGGGGUGAGCCACAGCGCCUGGCCUGCAGUGCCCUCCUAAGUGGUUUUGCUGCUCCCACAUCCUGCUCUCACCCUGUUCAGGAUACUAUCGGUGCCGCUUCCCAAAAGAUCCUGUUCAAACAUAAAUCAGAGCCUGUCACUUCUCCAUUAAAACCCUCCAGUGGCUUCCUGUAUCAUGCUGGGUGCAAACCAAAGUCCAUACUACCACCCACAAAUUGUAGCAAGAUACUGCUCCUUUUAGCCACACUGACUUUAACUCCUGUGACGCUCCCGUCCUCACUCCAUUCCAGCCAUGCUGUUCAUCAAACUGGCCUUUCCCCUGUUCAUCAAACUGCCCAGAAGCUGGAGAUGAAGGCAAAGCAACCAUUCUUCCUGGGAGAGUCACCAACCAUCCCCAUUUGCCUGGGACUAGGGGGUCUCCUGAGUUGUGAGACUUCAGGUUUUAAAACCAGGACAACCCCAAGAAAACCAAGAUAGUUGGUCAGCCCACUCCCAGAACUGGAGGCAUGGCCAAUCCUGACAGAGCUGCUGGAGGUCCCCUUUUCACAGUUCCAACAAGGGUCAGGUUGGAAUUUUCCAGAAGGCAUACCUACGGAGAUUCUCCAGCUGGGCCUGCUUGAGUCCCAUGUCCACCCCAGAGAUAAUCGCCAGGACAGAGAGUGGAUGCAGAGGAGGCAGAUGAGAACCGCCCACCAGGAAACAGGCACGUCCCAUUCUACAAAGCCUUCACAUGUCUGAAGCCAGCCUGACCUCUCCCCAGUUUCUCCAUUUGUCCUCAAAUGCAGGGCUUCCCAGGCCCUUCCCCAUCUGUGGUAUUAGGGAGGGGACCACUCUGGAAGGAGACCCUAGGCUUUCCCUCCCACCUGAGUGUCAGUAUUCUCAGAGGAGCCAAUCUGGAAACGAGAUCUCAGGAGGUCUGAGGGGAGCUGUGGCCAAUGGGCAGGCCUGCGAAGGCAGAAGACACCGACUCCACUGCUGGGCUGUGGGAGACCCUCGGGGCCAGCAAAGUCAGGCAACCAGGAUAGGCUCAUGUUUAAGCAAAAUGUCAGGAACAAUUUUCAAAUAAUCGACUCCAUUUGCUCCAAUUCAGCCUUCCAACACUGCUUCAGAUUCUCCAAGCAAAUAUUAAACAUGUCCUGCAAAUCUCAGGAAUCAGCACACAGAGAAACACAAAGAAGAGUAAGUGGCCUUCUUCCAAGACCUGGUUUAUCAAAGGUCUGAGGCAGUCCUGAUCCGCUGCUCUCCUCCUGCUGGCUGAGCCUUGCCACUGGCUCAGUGGCCCAGGGUGCCAGCUCCCUUUCCUGGGCCUCCCGGGAAAGGGGAGGGAGAAGGUCGAGGGAGCAAGAGGGUUCCAGGGCUGCCUCCAGGGCUGGCCUGGCAAGUUGCAGCUCUGUCCCUGGCGAUUUCCCUGCAGCCAAUGGCUGUGGAAGAGGAAAGGAGAGGACCUUUUGAUGUGGUGGAGAAGCAUCAUUGUAGAAGGGAGAGGAAUAAGUAAAAGGUUGGCCAGGGAACCAUGGCCGGGCACGGUGGCUCCUGCCUGUAUUCCCAGCACUUUGGGAGGCCAAGGUGGGCAGAUCACUUGAGGCCAGGAGUUCAAGACCAGCCUGGCCAACAUGGUGAAACCCCUUCUCUACUAAAAAUACAAAAAUUAGCCGGGCGUGGUGGUGAGCACCUGUAGUCUCAGCUACUUGGGAGGCUGAGGCAGGAGAAGCACUUGAACCCGGGAAGCGGAGGUUGCAGUGAGCCGAGAUCGCGCCACUGUACUCCAGCCUGGGCGACAGAGUGAGUGAGACUCCGUCUCAAAAAAAAAAAAAAAAAAGUAAAAUGUUGGCCAGGGAGCCUUGCUGGCCUCCUGAAGGCAGCCAAACAUUAAACACACCUACAGUCACAGAGUCCAGCUUAAGGAAGAGGCAGACCAGAAAGUGAAAGUGAAGAAAGAACGGGAGGAGAGAUGGGUGGGGGCGCGGAUCAAGGCAGAAAAGGGAGGCAAAAGGCAAGGCUCCUAGGGACAGAGAGUGGUGACAUGCCAGCUUCUGUUCGUUAAAACCCUGCUCUGGACCAUGAACACUGCUAGGCAAUUUCGUUAUGACAGCUCCUUGCAUCCUCCCAGCAUUUUACAGCUAAGGAAACUGAAGACCGUGAGGUUAAAUUCUUCACCCGAGGUCCACAGCUAGGGAUUAGCAGAAUCAGUGUUUGAACCCAAGGCUGCCUGACUCCAGUGUCACACCCAAACUGUUCCUGUCUCUCUGUUAGCAGUUCUUAGUUGCUGGGGAUUCAGACUCUAUUUUGUUGCUUGUGUAGUUCAAUACAGCUCCCCCCACUGUGGCCACAUUGCAGCCUACAGAUGCAAUAAAAAGGAGGGGAAGGCAUGCAUUUCCUUUAAGGGUACACCUGAGGUCAGGAGUUCGAGAUCAGCCUGACCAACAUGGAGAAACACAACUCUACUAAAAAUACAAAAUUAGCUGGGCAUUGUGGUGCAUGCCUGUAAUCCCAGCUACCCGGGAGGCCAAGGCAGGAGAAACGCUUGAACCCAGGAGGCAGAGGUUGCGGUGAGCCAAGGUUGUGGUGAGCCGAGAUCACACCAUUGUACUCCAGCCUGGGCAACAAGAGCGAAACUCCAUCCAUCUCAAAAAAAAAAAAAAAAUGCUGUGAAUCUUGAACAGAGAAUGCAAUAGACAGCAAGAAAGGUCUGGUGGCAUCUUCGAAGGAGCCUUCAUCUCCUAUACUUUCAGGGUGGAUAUGAUGGAAGACUCAGCCCAGGGCCUCAUUGUGCAUGUAGGAGUUCCAAGUAAAUGCUUAGGAAAGGGCAUAGUGGGGACGUAGUGGGACCCUGAGACUUAGAAUAGGAGCAUCUAAGUGGUCACAGACAAGGCUGAGACUCUGGCACUUUUGAAUUCUCAAAUCCUUCAAAGCUCCCUUGUCUGUUCAGGCAGGUCCUCCCGUGUAGAGGUAACCAACUUAUCCCUGCCUAAGGAACCUUCUGUGACUGCACCUAGGACAGUUGCUUCACUAAAAAGGGACACCAGAUCUUCUCUUCAUUCCUCCAGCAUCAAAAGGAGAGUUAGAUCCCAACAUAGCCCACUUGGGCAGUACAAGGCCUGCUCUAGAAAGAGAAUGUCUAUACACUAAAGAAGUGGCAGGACCUUGCCAGUUCAAAUCCACAAGGGUCUUGGGAGCACGUGUCGGAGAGGAUUCUAAGCAUUGUGUUAGCCUAAAGAUGGUAAACACAAGGCUUGGCUGGGCACAGAGCCUCGUGCCUGUAAUUCCAGCACUUUGGGAGGCUGAGGCGGGCGGAUCACUCUUCAAACUCCUCAAACUCAGGAGUUUGAGACCAGCCUGGCCAACAUGGUGAAACCUGUUUCUACUAAAAAUACAAAAAAUUAGCUGGGCGUGGUGGUGGGUGCAUGCCUGUAGUCUCAGCUACUCGGGAAGCUGAGGCAGGAGAAUCGCUUGAACCCAGGAGGCAGAGGUUGCAGUGAGCCGAGAUCGUGCCAUUGCACUCCAGCCUGGGUGAAAAAGUGAGAAUCU